rnacentral:rRNA from 1 species
GAUGAACGCUGGCGGCGUGCCUAAUACAUGCAAGUCGAGCGAACGGACGAGAAGCUUGCUUUUCUGAUGUUAGCGGCGGACGGGCGAGUAACACGUGGAUAACCUACCUAUAAGACUGGGAUAACUUCGGGAAACCGGAGCUAAUACCGGAUAAUAUUUUGAACCGCAUGGUUCAAAAGUUAAAGACGGUCUUGCUGUCACUUAUAGAUGGAUCCGCGCUGCAUUAGCUAGUUGGUAAGGUAACGGCUUACCAAGGCAACGAUGCAUAGCCGACCUGAGAGGGUGAUCGGCCACACUGGAACUGAGACACGGUCCAGACUCCUACGGGAGGCAGCAGUAGGGAAUCUUCCGCAAUGGGCGAAAGCCUGACGGAGCAACGCCGCGUGAGUGAUGAAGGUCUUCGGAUCGUAAAACUCUGUUAUUAGGGAAGAACAUAUGUGUAUGUAACUGUGCACAUCUUGACGGUACCUAAUCAGAAAGCCACGGCUAACUACGUG